UCAUUAUUGCUAAUGUGAGUACAUCGAGGUCUCAAAUAGACAAAGGACGUCGAUACAACGCCUUAGUACAUAUAACUUGGAACGAAAAUCAAUGUCUAGCCGAUGACAUCAAAGUCAUGGGUAGCUAGAGCAGGAUCUGAAUCUUUGAUAUUCGCGAUCAUGAGGAUGACGUUCUUGUCCUCAUAUUGAUUUUUCAUACCUUUUUGUAUGCAUUCACAAUUUAAAGGAGCUUGACAAUCUUGAACCAGUGAUCCGAAGAUCCACAACGGUUGCAUUAAUGUCAUGAGCUGACGUGAGUAGUUUUGACAAAAUAGUGUCUAGACCGGGAGUGUCGCUAUUAGAGCCGGCAACACCUCCCCCUCUUUUCUAGACAUCGGCACGACGUUUUCUGCCGUUGCCAUGACCCAUAUUGUUGUCCCCACAUUAGGGGAUAAUCUGAAAUAAGUUAUCACAUUAGCGUGUAUACAAUUCCCGUUUGUAUGAUCAAAAUCAAGUCUCGUUGGUAAUUCCAAACCAACUUGGAGGACCUAGAGAACUUGAUGAUGAUCGAAUCCGCUAAAGAUUAUGGAUCAUGAUGCCACAAAAGAUCGUCGACAAUAUGUAGUCAAUUAAGGUGGUAAGCAAUCCACUUGACUAAUAACUCAACAAGUAGAGUUAUAUGAACGUUUCGAGAAACGCUCCAUGAGUGCAUUCCAUAGUACUUUUUUGUCAUUACUUUUUGCACAGAUUGCCAUUGAAGGCUUUUGUCGAUGUGGCGCUUUAAAGACUUUGAGCGCAUGAGAUGUGAAAUCUCGGCAUCUACGCUUGUUAGCCUGGGGGUCAAAACAUGUGGUUUAAUCCUUUCCAAUGAAUGGUUCCACAGAUACCAAGCGAAGAUCCGCCUUAGGCAUCUAGUACGUCAAAACUCAAAGGAGCAGAAUGUUACAUUGCUCUUGCAUACAAAACCAAGCUGUUAUGAGACUCGAUAGAGGUCACAAACGAUGCUUUUAAUGGUUUGUCCUUCGGAUUGAUCAUACACAAUCCGGAAAAGCCUCGAAUUGAUCAAACACAAUUCGGAAAAAGGACCUCGGAUUGAUCAAACACAAUCCGGUGAAAGGUCGGGGUUGGAUCAAACACAACCCGGACAAAGAAACAAGAGUGAUCCAACAUA
rnacentral:lncRNA from 1 species